rnacentral:rRNA from 1 species
UACGAGGGGGGCGAGCGUUGUUCGGAAUUAUUGGGCGUAAAGGGUGCGUAGGCGGCCUGACAAGUCUGAUGUGAAAUCCCUGGGCUCAACCCAGGGCCUGCAUCGGAAACUGUCGGGCUUGAGUAUGGGAGAGGUGAGUGGAAUUUCCGGUGUAGCGGUGAAAUGCGUAGAUAUCGGAAGGAACACCUGUGGCGAAAGCGGCUCACUGGACCAUUACUGACGCUGAGAAGCGAAAGCAUGGGGAGCGAACAGG